rnacentral:rRNA from 1 species
AGGCCUACGGGAGGCAGCAGUGGGGAAUAUUGCACAAUGGGGGAAACCCUGAUGCAGCAACGCCGCGUGAAGGAAGACGGUUUUCGGAUUGUAAACUUCUGUUCUUAGUGAAGAAGAAUGACGGUAGCUAAGGAGCAAGCCACGGCUAACUACGUGCCAGCAGCCGCGGUAAUACGUAGGUGGCAAGCGUUGUCCGGAUUUACUGGGUGUAAAGGGCGUGCAGCCGGGAGUGCAAGUCAGAUGUGAAAUCCCGCGGCUCAACCG